rnacentral:rRNA from 1 species
GUCCACGCCGUAAACGAUGAUAACUAGCUGUCCGGGCACAUGGUGCUUGGGUGGCGCAGCUAACGCAUUAAGUUAUCCGCCUGGGGAGUACGGUCGCAAGAUUAAAACUCAAAGGAAUUGACGGGGGCCUGCACAAGCGGUGGAGCAUGUGGUUUAAUUCGAAGCAACGCGCAGAACCUUACCAGCUUUUGACAUCCUGGUCGCGGAUUAGAGAGAUCUUUUCCUUCAGUUCGGCUGGACCAGUGACAGGUGCUGCAUGGCUGUCGU